rnacentral:rRNA from 1 species
GAUGAACGCUGGCGGCGUGCCUAAUACAUGCAAGUCGAGCGAACAGACGAGGAGCUUGCUCCUCUGACGUUAGCGGCGGACGGGUGAGUAACACGUGGAUAACCUACCUAUAAGACUGGGAUAACUUCGGGAAACCGGAGCUAAUACCGGAUAAUAUAUUGAACCGCAUGGUUGAAUAGUGAAAGACGGUUUUGCUGUCACUUAUAGAUGGAUCCGCGCCGCAUUAGCUAGUUGGUAAGGUAACGGCUUACCAAGGCGACGAUGCGUAGCCGACCGGAGAGGGUGAUCGGCCACACUGGAACGGAGACACGGUCCAGAGUCCUACGGGACGCAGCAGUAGGGAAUCUUCCGCAAUGGGCGAAAGCCUGACGGAGCAACGGCGCGUCAGUGAUGAAGGUCUUCGGAUCGUAAAACUCUGUUAUUAGGGAAGAACAAAUGUGUAAGUAACUAUGCACGUCUUGACGGUACCUAAUCAGAAAGCCACGGCUAACUACGUG